ensembl:ncRNA C23H4.12 ncRNA
UUUCCUAGUAUUCACGUAUGUCUGUUCUCCAAGAUUUUCCCGUAUUGCCCUAGCCCCGGGGCAAUCGGCAAUGUGUAGCGCACUCCAGGAAAUAUGACUUCCUGGCAGGAAAAAAAAGAAGACGGGGCACAUUACGGAGGACAACAU